GUGCUCGCUUCGGCAGCAUAUAUACUAAAAUUGGAACGAUAAAGAGAAGAUUAGCAUGGCCCCUGCGCAAGAAUGAAACACAAAUUCAUGAAGCGUUCCAUAUUUUU
rnacentral:snRNA from 13 species